rnacentral:misc_RNA from 1 species
GGGAAUUCAUAAAAUAAGGUAAGUAGACCCAUAUAUGGGUGAUGAUGAGGAGGAGUGUGUGAACUCGAUACACUGAAUAACGUCUCAAAAAUAACGGCGUCUCAAAAAUUUCAGAUAUAGAGAGAGAGGCAGAGCAGAAACUGAAAGUUUUGCAGAGAUAGAGAGAGACAUGCAGAGAAAGGUGACACGAGGCCGUCAGCGUGAAGGGUUCUGGUGGAGUGAAAAUCCAAUUGGUCUGGAGAGAAGUCCUAGUUCUAGCUGGGCCUUUUAUGGUGAUUGGUCCCUAAAGAGAAAGUCUGUUGGCCACGAUGCAAGGUCAAGAUAGCACCUCCAAUGCCUUUCCAGGAACCUUUUAUUUGGAUAAUGGGUCCAAUGGCAUCAAUCUUCGACAAAAUGAGAAUAAUGUAGUUCCAGCUGAUGCUUCUGUUUAUCAUGGCCAUCCUGUCAUGGGUUGGAUGAGUCAAUCUAGUUCUAGCAUGAACAACCAAACCCUUGUUCGAUUUCGGGAUUUAUUAGCUGAAGAUGGGUUGCCAUCUAAUGGGAUGGAUCAAUCUACUUCUAGGGAGAACCCCCAAUCUCCGGUUCGAUUUCUGGAUUUAUUAGCUGAAGAUGGGUUGCCAUCUAAUGGGAUGGAUCAAUCUACUUCUAGGGAGAACCCCCAAUCUCCGGUUCGAUUUCUGGAUUUAUUAGCUGAAGAUGGGUUGCUGUCUAAUGGGAUCGAUGAAUCUACUUCUGGUGUGAACACCCAAACUCCAGUUCGAUUUCAGGAUUUAUUAGCUGAAGAUAGUUUGAUGUCUUCCCCUGUUGCUAGUCCUGGAACUGGUCAGAGUUUGGAAGAAAGGCAUUCCGGGCCACUAAUUGCUCCCUUUCGACAAAGUGUUGACAUGAGCCUAGGAAAUGGCUGUUUCACUAACAGGUUAUUGCCUUUGCAACAGGCUAGUUCUAGUGCUUUCCCUCAGAACUUAGACUUAAAUGCAGCAUUUGGCAGCAACAGCAUAGAUGCCAAUCUGAAUACAGUUACAGAUUUGUGUCCAAGUACAUUUAAACCAGGUGGAUCAGAUGUUGAUAAAAAUCUAUCUGCCAGUGAUUCUUCUAAUUCUAGUCCCCUUGUGAUUUCUUCUGGAAUUGCGGGAUAUGUGGUGGAAGAAAAUGAGGAUGGAGAAGGUCGUUCACCGGAUGGUAGGCGUCUUUCAUGCAAGAGAAGAGCAGCCGAAGAUGCUUCUGGACAACUUUCUUUGGGUAGAAGCUCAAGAUCCACCCAACAAGCUGUUCCUACUCAAGAAAAUAAUACUAGAAGAUUGAAUUUAUCAACUACAGAUAAUCAUCCAAAUGUCAGGUAUUCGGAGCAGCUGGAUGCUGGAGUUGCGGUUGCUUUAGAGGCAACUCCUGUCAUGCAUCAAACUUCAAGCGCAGCAGGAGGUGAACUUGGAGCUCGUGCAGUUGCGAGCUCUUACAUUCAUCAAGCCUUAGCAAUGGUAGGAGAAGCUGAGCAGUCCCAAAGAAAUAUCCAUCUGAGAAGAAGAGUGAAUCAUCAAGAUUUUGUGCCAGCUAACUUUGCAACAUGGACCGCUAGGAAUUCUCCUCCACAAUUACGUGGUCAACCAGCUGUUCAUUCCUCACUUGAUUUUGUUCCAAACACAAGCUCAGUGACAAGAAUAGUUCACCCUACUCCUCCAAUGCAGCAGCCUGUCCAUGAUUCAUAUUCUUCAGAAACUUUGCAGCAGGGGAAUGCAAUCACCAGGUCAAGAACUGUUUUGCCGUCCACUUCUGUUUUUACUGUAAACAGAGGAGAUGCAACACUUUUAGAAGACAACUCAAGGAACAAUCAAAGAAAUGACAUGCUUACUCCUGAAUUUCAAAGGGGAAAUUUGGAACAUUUGUUAACAAACCCGAACUUUGUCCUUGGCACAAACUCUCCUGGAAAUAUUGCAUCCAAUUCUAGAAAUAGUUCUACUUUUCAUGUUCGCCAAUCAUCGGCGCCCAUCUUGUUCCCCGAAAGCAACAUGGCUCAGCAAUAUAUGGAGAGAACCUCAGACAUUGUCAAUGACAUUGAGGCUCAAAGGCAAGGUAGUUACUACCCACGACAUUUGGGUAUUGCUGAAAGAGAGUGGGAAUUAUCGAUGAGAGGUGGUAAUUCAAGGGCUUAUCAUGUACCUCUUAGAUCAGGAUUGACAAUACAAGCUGAGAGACAAAGUGAUGGCAAUCCUGAUGUGCCAAUGCGCUCUUUGACUGCUACUCAGAGGAGAAUGAGACUGUUAUCUGAGCUUCGGGUUCACAAUGCUGUGUCACUUCUGCGUAGGGAGCGCCUCUUUCAGUAUGCGGAUUUGUUGAUCAACCGUUCAGUGUUGUUUGGUGUACCUGAAGAGAAUGAUCUUCAUGAAGAUAUGCGUCUAGAUGUGGAUAACAUGUCUUACGAGGAACUACUGGCCCUAGAGGAGCGAAUUGGAAAUGUUUGCACUGGACUAAGUGAAGAUGCUAUUCAGGCACAUAUGAAGCCUCACAAGUAUGAAGCAACUGCAGUAGGGCCUCUGAAAGAUGAACCAUGCUGCAUCUGUCAGGAGGAUUAUGCUGAUGGUGAAGAUCUUGGAAAGCUGAACUGUGGGCAUGAAUUUCAUUUUAACUGCAUUAAACAGUGGCUUGUCCAGAAGAAUAACUGCCCCAUCUGCAAAAAGACAGGGUUUGAAGUUUGAGAUUGUUAAUUUCAGGACUUCUUUCUACAAUAAAGAUCACAUGACAUGCUAUGGAGAUUCUCUCCUGUCCAUGGAUCAUCCUUCUUGGCAACUUUUUACAUUAUGUUUUCUUGUUUUAAGGGAUGAUCAUCAAUAACUACAGUAGGCAACAAGUCCAUGAGCUGCCUCAUGCACUUGCUGCUUCUAUUUUUAUUUUCUAAUGUUUAAGAUUCUGCAAUGACAUUCAGUCUAAAGGUUUUGGGGACCAAAAACUUGGAAAGGCACCCUUUCAUGUGAAAAGGGGCUUUGGCAGCUAGACCUUCCAAAUUUAUCUUUACUGUUAUAAACUAUUUCUUUGGUUUGCUAUGUCUUUUGCCUAGUUUAUUUGGUGUUGC